GUCAUGCCCAUUGACCCCAUUUGAUGUUGAUGAUAAUGUAGCCAUGCAGGGAAAGUAAACCGAAAUAAUAGUACGAAGUAGGCAUAAAAAACUUCAAACAAUUGUUCUCCCACUAUUUAAUAACAAGAAGCCCCAAUUUUGUAAACACUACGUAUAUACUCCAGUAAACAAAAGAUAUUUAGUCCUCAAACUUUAUCCCAUGUCAUUGUAUGGUAUAUUCUUAAUUAUGUUUGUGCAGCGGGGUACCCUCACAUCAUAUGAAUUUCUCCUUUUGUUUUAUGCCUCAAAACGUGUGUUUUCCUUUAAAUUGUCAUAAGCUAACAAAAAAAAAGCUAGCUAAUACUUUUUCUCUAAACCCGCAUGUUUAGCACUUUCAUGAAACAAAAACUAUGAACUAUUCUUCAGGCUUUCUCAUCUUUUUUCUUCUGGUAUGCCAUUUUUUCCCAUAUUCAAGCUCAAGCAUGAGAAUAAUAAUGAUUCAGCAACUCACCAAAGCAACAAUAGAAGAUCACCAUCACAUGUCAAGAGGAUCUGAGAGGGAUCAUGUUCAAAGGAAAGCAUUGCAUGAAGUACAUUCAGGGCCUAAUCCUAUCAGUAAUUGCAUUCCACAGCAAAAAUUGAAGUUCGAUACACAAAGAAAACAUUAGGUCUUCUUUUGGAUGUUAAUUAUUUUUUUUUCCUUUUUUUAAUAGUAAAUUCUCUUUUCCCUUUUCUGUUCUUUGUUCUUUCUUUCCCUCCCUUCAUCAUAUUGCUAUACAUAUUUUAUGAGUCAGCUUAUUGAAUCUAAAUUCAGUUUGAUGUAAAACUAUAACAAUUAGCGUAGCCAUCUUCAGUCCAGUUCUUCACUCUUUUCAUCCACUUGGGUUGUGUUAUAUAGUGUUAUCCCUCCCUUCCUCCUUUUUUCUUUGCAUAUAAUUUCAAUCAUCACUUGCUAGUUGCUAUAUA